rnacentral:rRNA from 2 species
AGAGUUUGAUCAUGGCUCAGAUUGAACGCUGGCGGCAGGCCUAACACAUGCAAGUCGAGCGGUAGCACAGAGAGCUUGCUCUCGGGUGACGAGCGGCGGACGGGUGAGUAAUGUCUGGGGAACUGCCUGAUGGAGGGGGAUAACUACUGGAAACGGUAGCUAAUACCGCAUAACGUCGCAAGACCAAAGAGGGGGACCUUCGGGCCUCUUGCCAUCAGAUGUGCCCAGAUGGGAUUAGCUAGUAGGUGGGGUAACGGCUCACCUAGGCGACGAUCCCUAGCUGGUCUGAGAGGAUGACCAGCCACACUGGAACUGAGACACGGUCCAGACUCCUACGGGAGGCAGCAGUGGGGAAUAUUGCACAAUGGGCGCAAGCCUGAUGCAGCCAUGCCGCGUGUAUGAAGAAGGCCUUCGGGUUGUAAAGUACUUUCAGCGGGGAGGAAGGCGAUAAGGUUAAUAACCUUGUCGAUUGACGUUACCCGCAGAAGAAGCACCGGCUAACUCCGUGCCAGCAGCCGCGGUAAUACGGAGGGUGCAAGCGUUAAUCGGAAUUACUGGGCGUAAAGCGCACGCAGGCGGUCUGUCAAGUCGGAUGUGAAAUCCCCGGGCUCAACCUGGGAACUGCAUUCGAAACUGGCAGGCUUGAGUCUCGUAGAGGGGGGUAGAAUUCCAGGUGUAGCGGUGAAAUGCGUAGAGAUCUGGAGGAAUACCGGUGGCGAAGGCGGCCCCCUGGACGAAGACUGACGCUCAGGUGCGAAAGCGUGGGGAGCAAACAGGAUUAGAUACCCUGGUAGUCCACGCCGUAAACGAUGUCUAUUUGGAGGUUGUGCCCUUGAGGCGUGGCUUCCGGAGCUAACGCGUUAAAUAGACCGCCUGGGGAGUACGGCCGCAAGGUUAAAGCUCAAAUGAAUUGACGGGGGCCCGCACAAGCGGUGGAGCAUGUGGUUUAAUUCGAUGCAACGCGAAGAACCUUACCUACUCUUGACAUCCAGAGAACUUAGCAGAGAUGCUUUGGUGCCUUCGGGAACUCUGAGACAGGUGCUGCAUGGCUGUCGUCAGCUCGUGUUGUGAAAUGUUGGGUUAAGUCCCGCAACGAGCGCAACCCUUAUCCUUUGUUGCCAGCGGUUCGGCCGGGAACUCAAAGGAGACUGCCAGUGAUAAACUGGAGGAAGGUGGGGAUGACGUCAAGUCAUCAUGGCCCUUACGAGUAGGGCUACACACGUGCUACAAUGGCGUAUACAAAGAGAAGCGACCUCGCGAGAGCAAGCGGACCUCAUAAAGUACGUCGUAGUCCGGAUUGGAGUCUGCAACUCGACUCCAUGAAGUCGGAAUCGCUAGUAAUCGUGGAUCAGAAUGCUACGGUGAAUACGUUCCCGGGCCUCGUACACACCGCCCGUCACACCAUGGGAGUGGGUUGCAAAAGAAGUAGGUAGCUUAACCUUCGGGAGGGCGCUUACCACUUUGUGAUUCAUGACUGGGGUGAAGUCGUAACAAGGUAAC